AUAUCAACUUCAAGUAAAAGACAAUUUCUUGUUGGAGUUGUGUAACUGUUGUUAGGUCUUUAUUUUUACUCAUGGCAUAUGAUUAAGUAGUUAUUUACUCUUUACUAUUGAAUGUGCUUUUAAAAAGGACUGUUAUAACCAACUGAAAUAGAUUACAAUUGAACUAAUGACGAUGGUUCACUCGGACCUUAUUUACAUUAUAGCAAUUGAUGGGUAACUAACAGAUGCAAAAAUCAAUUACAAAAUUGUAAUGGACAUAAAAAAAACUAAGUGGGAGUAAUACGCUGCCAGCUACACAGCCCAUAAACGUUUUAUGAGCAAAGUUUGAGUGCGACGAGCUUUGCUAACGAUCCAUUAUAUUAUUAUAUGCAGGAAAUAAGAG